AGAGUGGGGCAGCCCUCCCUAGACCAGAGCUCCAGACCCCAGAAUACACCCUCACUGAGGCCCCGGGACUGCCUGUUUGCAUUGAGACAGCGGUUUGGGCUGCCGGGGUUACUCCCCAUCGAGCGCUACCGGAGAGCAGGAACCGAAGGGAAGGGGCGCUGGAGAGUCGAAAGCGAGAUAUAAUGGUGCACUUCCUCUUUCACCAACAGGGGACCUCCUGGAGGAAGGAGGGUCAUGCAGGGUGACAGCCAGAAGAUGCGUUCUGGCUAGCGGGCCGGCCCCUGGGGCCGCAUCUAUGAACCAGAGGUCAGCUCCACCGUGCACCCCAGUAUGCAUUCCCCCUCCUUCAGAGGCCGGCUGGUGGCUUCAUGCCGAGCAGGGUGCCCAUGUGGGAAGCUGGUGUGUGCUCAGGCAGGAGAAGUGAACGCAGGACCAGUUUUCUCCAGAGGGCCAGCAAGGCACCCGGGUCUGCCUCCGUCACACACGGAGUCAGGAUCCGCAGUCCCUUGCCCCCACGCCAGCGUGGGCACCUCCAGGCCUGCAGCCCGAGGGAUCCUGCCAUCUCCUUCCACCCCUUGGUCCCGAUGAGGCAGUAGGUCUGCAGGAUAGCUGUGUCGCGUGGGUGGAGGUGGCAAGAGGUUGGCUCGGGAGCUUGGGUUUGUCUGGACUAUCUUCACAGCUGCUGCCAUCCUCCCCAGAGACGUGCCCACACCCAGCAUGCUGUCC